rnacentral:rRNA from 1 species
GGUGAAUGCCUUGGCACUAGGAGCCGAAGAAGGACGCGAUAAGCUGCGAUAAGCCUUGGGUAGCCGCAAAUAGGCUGAGAUUCAGGGAUUUCCGAAUGAGGAAACUCACAUGGGUAACCCCAUGUAUUAUGCACUGAAUACAUAGGUGUAUAAGGGUAAACCCGGGGAACUGAAACAUCUAAGUACCCGGAGGAAGAGAAAGAAAAAUC